rnacentral:rRNA from 1 species
GAUGAACGCUGGCGGCGUGCCUAAUACAUGCAAGUCGAACGAAACUUCUUUAUCACCGAGUGCUUGCACUCACCGAUAAAGAGUUGAGUGGCGAACGGGUGAGUAACACGUUGGCAACCUGCCCAAAAGAGGGGGAUAACACUUGGAAACAGGUUCUAAUACCGCAUAACCAUAGUUACCGCAUGGUAACUAUGUAAAAUGUGUCUAUACUACCGCUUUUGGAUGGGCCCGCGGCGCAUUAGCUAGUUGGUAGGGUAAAGGCUUACCAAGGCAAUGAUGCGUAGCCGAAUUGAGAGGUUGAUCGGCCACAUUGGGACUGAGACACGGCCCAAACUCCUACGGGAGGCAGCAGUAGGGAAUCUUCCACAAUGGGCGAAAGCCUGAUGGAGCAACGCCGCGUGGGUGAAGAAGGUCUUCGGAUCGUAAAGCCCUGUUGUUAGAGAAGAAAGUGCUUGAGAGUAACUGUUCACGUUUCGACGGUAUCUAAACAGAAAGCAACGGCUAACUACGUG